rnacentral:rRNA from 1 species
AUGUAUGUGUUGUGGAAGUCGGUGGCAUUGGCACACUACCAAUUUGUUAUCCCGGCUGCAUUUCUAUUUGUUGCCGGGAUCAUCAAGUAUGGAGAGAGGAUUUGGGCACUCAAGUUGGGGAGCCAGAAAGGCCUGAGGACCUCCACUAGCGGAGAAGCAAAGAAGGCAUCCCUGGAAGUAGAGGAAAGUGGAAAAUAUAUUCGGACAUAUCAAGCAAUUAUCAAGUAUGCUGCUCUUCACACCAAGGGAGCCGUGCGGGGUAUAUUCGCUGGACAGGCUAUCUACAACAUCGAAGAGCACACUCGUGGUAAAUUUCUACAUGGACAUCUCUAUGCUCUGAAGCAUCCACAAGACAAGUUCAAGAGAGUGGAGAUUGAGCUUAGUAUAAUGUAUGACAGCCUCUUCACGAAAUCCCGGGUGAUUCAAACAACGGCCGGCGCCAUCCUUCGGUGUGUCUCCCUCGCCUCCACAGUGGUUGCCUUUGUGCUUUACGUCAAGAUGAUGAUGAGUAGUAGUGUCAAUGCUGAGGAGCACACAACAGUUGCAUACAAGGACGACUAUAGAAGAAGUGGAAUUGAUGCUCUGAGAAUUGAUGCUGCACACAACAGUUGCACACAACAGUUGCACACAACAUUUUUCCUCGAAGCUUGCUCAUUCUUCAUCGUGAUGAUGUCACCAUGGCAGUGGCCAUUCUUGGAAGCUCGAGCUGGAUGGUAUAGUCGUGUGCUGCUCAACCGAGUGGCAUGGCCAAUCUUCAUGAAGAUCCAACCAGAGACCAAGCCAUGGUGGUCAAACUCAAUGGGGCAGUACAACUUGUUUAGCUCCAGCAGGAGCAUGUCAGCUGAAGGCCACAGGAGGUGGAAUAGAACCAUCAGCAUGGCAAAGAAGAUGGCAGGCGUGUUUGGAGCUACUGAUGCAUGGAACAAGAUAAGCAACACCAAGCACACCCAAGUCACGAGGGAGAUCAAGGAUCUCAUCCACGGCUUGGUAGGCUUUGCGUCGGGGGUACCUCAAUCCAUCCCUGUUCCAAGGACUUAUAAAGUACUAUUGUCUCUCUCCUUCGAGGAGUCCUUGUUGACGCUACACGUUUGGACAGACGUGGUGCUACAGAAGGCGGCCAAGUCGACAAUGGUGACAUAUAGCAACCCCACCACCCAAGACCAAGAGGCAGCAAGGCGGCAAUGUCUUAUGGAUACCUGCAAGAGACUAUCUGACUACAUGGUGUACCUGAUGGUGACGCACCCUGCCAUGCUACCCACCAGCGCCAACGUGCAGGAUCUACUGGCCAAGGCCUCACGGUGGGCCAACAAUGCAUCCAGCAUCGAGGAUUUUCUUUAUGAGUUGGGGAGAUUUUAUGUGUUUAGAAAUGAUUUCUGGCACUUGCAAAGAGGGGUGCUGGAAAGCCAAAGAGGCAUCCACGCGGAGCUUGAGAGACUGGAGCAGGUGUGGGUGAGGAUGCUGGUCUACGCAGCCGGAAAAUGCCGGCCAGAAGAGCAUGCCCGAAGGCUGAGUGCUGGGGGAGAGCUCAUCACCUUCGCUUGGAUGCUCUCCGCGCAACAGAACCUCAGUGUCAGUCUUUUCUCAGGACAAACCGUCCCAGGAGCAAAUCUUUUGGAAUUUGAGCCAUCUGCAAAUUAA